ACGGGUGAGUAAUGUCUGGGGAUCUGCCCGAUAGAGGGGGAUAACCACUGGAAACGGUGGCUAAUACCGCAUAACGUCGCAAGACCAAAGAGGGGGACCUUCGGGCCUCUCACUAUCGGAUGAACCCAGAUGGGAUUAGCUAGUAGGCGGGGUAACGGCCCACCUAGGCGACGAUCCCUAGCUGGUCUGAGAGGAUGACCAGCCACACUGGAACUGAGACACGGUCCAGACUCCUACGGGAGGCAGCAGUGGGGAAUAUUGCACAAUGGGCGCAAGCCUGAUGCAGCCAUGCCGCGUGUAUGAAGAAGGCCUUCGGGUUGUAAAGUACUUUCAGCGGGGAGGAAGGCGAUGUGGUUAAUAACCGCAUUGAUUGACGUUACCCGCAGAAGAAGCACCGGCUAACUCCGUGCCAGCAGCCGCGGUAAUACGGAGGGUGCAAGCGUUAAUCGGAAUUACUGGGCGUAAAGCGCACGCAGGCGGUCUGUUAAGUCAGAUGUGAAAUCCCCGGGCUUAACCUGGGAACUGCAUUUGAAACUGGCAGGCUUGAGUCUCGUAGAGGGGGGUAGAAUUCCAGGUGU
rnacentral:rRNA from 1 species